CCCCUCAGCAUCAGGAGCCCACAUUGAGUGU
rnacentral:piRNA from 1 species